rnacentral:tRNA from 1 species
GCACCCGUAGUUCAAUGGAUAGAAUACCGGAUUCCGGUUCCGACGAUAUGAGUUCGAUUCUCAUCAGGUGUACAA